GCCCCAUUCCCUCUCGGCCACGCCCACCACGGCCCACUGGCCAGGGAGCCGCUACGCAGAUGUUUUCGCCUCUGCGGGUGUAGGCUCCGGGUCGGGCUUCCGGGUCCCUUUCCUGGCUCUGGCGCCUUCCAGCUGUGUGACCGGGCGAGGCCCUGAGCCUCUUGAGGGUUCAGUGCCCUCCUCCGUACAAUGGGCCAACAACAGCCCCUUCCCUGGGGAUCUCGGUGAGGGUUGGUUGCUCUGCAGGGUGCCCUGGGCCUGUGCCAGCGCGCUCAGGCAUCCUGGUGACCAACCACAGCUGGCACUGGUGAACGCAGCCUCUUAGCCCAGGCAGGCUCUGGUCAGCCUCACCUGCUGGGACCGCUGAGUGGUCCAAGAGCUGGCUUGGCUGACUGGGACCUGGGCCUCAGCUUCCCCAUCUGUGCAGGGGGCCGCUGGUGAUACCGGUCCCUGCCAUGCCCUGGUGGAGAUAUGGCCCAGUGAGACUUCGUGAGGGGUCUAGGCCACUGCUGUCACGUGGUCCUCCUGCUCCACCACAGGCCAUCUCCCUGGGCCUCAUCCAGACAGCUGGACACUGAGCACAGCUCUGUUGUCCUCUUCCCUGGGCUGAGUGGACUCAGAGGUGCUGGGGACUGCAUGGCCGCCGGACGAGGCGGGGGCUUUCCAACCCAACACCACCGAGCCUGCCUCUUCCUGCCCUGGAUGCUAUGUCUUCCAUAGAGCCGCUUUUCCAACACAGCAGGUAUGAAGUAUCCACCGGCCAUCUGAAAAUAAUGCAGUAACUAAGAAAAACAGUGGCGAGAGGAAGGAGUGUCGAUGCCCCAAAUGGAUCAUCUUCCAGAGCACGUCUACACCGAGAUCAAGAAUGAAAAGGAAUUGGGAUCCUGACACAUCCACCAAAGAGCCUUUGAGUACUUCGAAAUCACUUGGAACAGGUUCCUGCAAAGCAAACCCUUCUGGGCUUGAGGAGGAAAUGGACCCGGAACAUUCAGCCCAUCUGAGCACAAACUUUCUGUUGACCUGAGAGGCUGAGGCCUUCCUGUUCCCCACUCAGACCCAGGAGGCAGCCUGCCCAGGGGGAGCCGGGGCAUGGCCUACGAGCUCCUGGAGUCAGGCAGCUCCUGAGGGGCCGGAUGGUCUUGGGCUGGCCAAGCCAGCCUCUGUCGUCCUGUGGAUGGUGGGGCCUUGUGUACGCAUAGCCUCUGCACAGGGGCACACUGUGGGUGUUUGGACGGACAGUGUCUCAAAAACCCAAUUCAGGGCUUGACAGCAGAUUUGUCCUCCACUCCAUGUGCAUAUGAGCAAGGAGAGUUAAUGCAAAGCUUUCUUCAUAGCAGAAGGUUGAAAACAAUGUACCUUUCUAUCAGCAGAGCAGGCAAGGGGGAUACUGUGUGUUUCCCACUGCUGCUGGGACAAAUUAUAACAAAUGUAGCAGCGUAAACCAACGUCCAUUUUUCAUCUCAUGCUCUGGAGGUCAGAGGUUCUCGCGGGUUCUUCUGGUUUUUCUGUUCAAGGUC
rnacentral:lncRNA from 1 species